GUGUUUUUAAUACAGAAAUUUAACUAUCCCGUAGCAACGCACGGGCACACUACCUAGUCUUUUUAUUAUUUGAGUAAAAUAUAAACAUGAGUACACUUAGCUGGAUAAAUGGGGGUGCUCUCCCCCAAGCUGGAGUUUGACGUAAUUUCUUCUAAUGUAGCUAGCAGGUGACGGAGGUGUUUUGAAUGUCGGCAGCACUCUGACAGCGAAUAGGAUGUCCUCCGUCUGCUAGUCUUCUUUGAUCCUUGAAUUCUGUGGAGCUCAAAUAGACAACAAAGCUUUGUGGAACUGUAGCAUAAAUACCUAUCCUUUAUCAUGUUGAGCCUCCUCAAUAAAUGUUACUCUCUUUAGUAAGAUCAUAAAUUUAUUUUUAUAUUUUUAUUUUUAUAGGACAGGAAUAUAUUUAUUUUAUUUUUACGCCACCACAGUGAAUGUACUUAUGGGUUUUAUGCCAUGAGCAUACUCACAUGGGGCUUACUAUUUUUAACAUUUUUAUUUUCUUUUCAAGAUGAUAUGAACAUGAUUAACUAAGCAAACUAUUUUAAAUAAUUGAAAGGAAAAAGAUAACUACCAAGUUUACCUCUUGGCAAGGCGUUCGGUGUUUUUAAGUCCUCCGAACGGGACUCUCCGUAUUCUCAGUCGUCUUGGGAUUCGCUGGAUGGCGUAGUCGGUGAUUCCGGCGGCGCCUGCUCUUCAUGUAUAACUAUCUUCUUUCUCCACACCUGACUCGGUGCUACGGUCUCCUCAGGACAGUUCUGUUCAAGUUGUAUGUCUUCAGGCCUUACAACUUCUCCUUCGUAGUCUGCCCAUCCGUCCUUGAUGAUUUGCCUUCUCUGGUUACGGUUGCGUCGUCUCCUUUGUCCUGACCUGCUUAGAGUCUUCAACUAUAUAGUUAGGGUCAGUAAAAUAGCGGCGUACCUUCUCAGAGGGGAAAUGCAUGUGGACUUCUCCGGUUCCAAUGUAGAUGAUUGCUUUAAUGAUGCUGAGGAACAGUCUCCCAAUGGUGAUGGGUGGAUUGUACUCGUCUUCUCCCAUGUCAAUAACCUUAAAAUCAUCUGGAGCUGAAUGUAUGUCGGUUUUAGGGGCAUGGUUCCGAAUAGGAGCUGAUAGGUGACUGGGUCAUCCUUUUUGGUUAGGAACGGUGACUUAAGUCGACGAUCUUGACCUCCUUGAACUGCAGUGACCAUCUUAGCUGACUCGGUCUACAUUUGCUUGUUCCUGUUCCUCCUAUUCGUCCUCUUCCUUAGUUCAUGUCGGGAUUGCUCUGAGAUUUGUGUAGUCUUGUUCUUGAAGGAAAAACGUCUCCUUCCUCCCCUUGAUGUAGAAACUGAUCUUGGCAGCACUAUCAUGGAUGACAGCUCCUGAGGUGUUCAGGAAUGGCCUCCUUGGACACGAAGGUUCUUCAAUAUUCCCUUUGGGAAACCUGGGCAU
rnacentral:lncRNA from 1 species